AUUGUUUGACAUGUGAUAUUAUUUGUUUAUUGUAUUGAAUCAAGGAAAAUAAAUAUAGCAAUAUACACUAAUAUAUGCAUAUGCUUACUGACAUAAUGUAAAAUUCAUACACCUUCACAGUUCACUUGCAUAAGUUCACACUACAUCAUAUAUUUUAUCUUCACAUUGUUUACACACACUUCUUGCCAAUUCACACUCACUAACCAAAUAGCCACAUUAAGUAGUAUUACAAUGCACAGUAAAAAAAUAUAAUAAAGGAAUUGAGAAUUAAAAAAGGCAGAGAGAAAGAGAAUAACAAUGGCUUUAUAAAAACCAUAAACAACCAGAGAAAAAAUGAGAAAGGUAGUAAAAUCAGUCGAUUCUGGCAAGAGUUCAUCGGAAAUUGAGCAACUCCGGUCUCAAAUGACCAGAGUGUUCCUUUUGCUAGUUAGACGUCACGUCGGAGAAACCAAUGAAACUCCAUGGCUACUGUUCUAUCUCAAAAUCCCCUCUAAAACCACCACUAAAUUGACCAUACCCGUUGGAUCUCUUGCCGAAAAAUGACAAACUGCCGCCGGCGUUCCUCUACAGCCUAUCACUGCCAAAAUUCCGGCAUCUAUUCCCCAUCACUGCUCACCAAAAAAUCUCUUUCCUCUUCCCGUCGUCCCUCUUCCCUUAAUCAUCAUCCCUCUUUCCUUUUCCCGUCAACCCACGCGUCACCAGCCAUUACUGUCUCCGUGAUUUUUGUUGCCUGUGGAUCAACUAGUAAUAUCUCCGGUCACUACCGCAACACAGGCGAGUCAGAUCUGACCGGAGUUGCCUCUUCCUCAAGCACCUUUUGAAAUUGCUGAUAUUUGUUAUAGGUUGUUUACUUAUGUUUUUUCUCUCACGUUUUAAUAUGGCAAAGAAUAU
rnacentral:lncRNA from 1 species